CUCAUACAGCUAUGGCGCGUGCAAGGACUGUUAGGUCUGGUUUUGUAGAUUUCAGGGAGAGAUGUUGGACAACAGGGAUUUGGAAUGACGCUUGGAGCGAUGUCUGACAAGAUACGUGUGCAAUGUGGCUGACUUGAAAGGUUGCCCCAGAAGCAUGUGGUUCAUGAGAACUCGAUCAGUGGUGCAUGAAAUGGGACCUGAAGAGCAGCACACUUUCCUGAUUUUGUGAAGCUGACAUCUGUCUGGGGGCCCGCCCGCCCCUAUGACUUCAGUACUUCUGGGGUAUGACUGGCCAUUUUCUGAAGUGGACAACUGGGAGUUAUAGUCACCGGCUCCAUGGUGAUACCAUAAAAGUCCUUUGGGUGUCAUUUAGCCUUCAUCCCUUCUGAUUACCACAAUGUAUGCUCGUUGACCGGUGCAACACUGGGCUGACGCCUCAAAUGUGAUUUCUGAUACGUACUUCUGACAAGGUAUCUGGCUUUUGUCAUAAGGAUGCCUUUUAUGAAGAGCUAAGGAUAUUCCCCCUCAUCCACCUACUGACUGCACAUCAACAUUAUGAUCAAAAGAUCUGGAUUUCAACUAUUGCUGUCUGGUUGCGGUCCUCAUCCCCCUCCUAAAAAGCCCCUUGAACACUAUACUACCCUGCUCCUUGUCAUUAAGGCAUAGUCCACUUCAACUUGUCAUUUGUUUGCCCCUUAUGCAUCCCAGAUGUGUAAGACUUGAAAAUUUAAAGCGUAAAACGGCUUUAGGUCCAUGCAAGUGAAUGGUCAACUGGGUAAUGCAUACAUUUCGUAGUGGUAGUUAAAUCCAUAUCUUCAGAAUAUGGUGGGUGUGUGGAAAAUAAAUAUUGUAGGUUUUUUUUUUUUUCUCUUUCUCAUCUGCACAUUCCUAUCUCCACCUACUGGGCUGGGAGGAGACUUUAUAGUAAAAGCAUUUAAAUAUUGAUGUUUUUAUCACCCUCAACUAACAUGUUGGUUCUGAAGAUUUGGAUUUUACAACUUGAGUUGAAAGAUUACUUUGUGUUGUUGUACUACUUGAACCUUUUAAAGGACAGCUCUCCAAUUUUAAGUCCUUUUAAAUGCAAGUAAAUGACUUAAUUUUAGGGUGAACUAACCUUUUUAAACCUUGAGUUCUGUGAAGUCAAUGAAUCCUGUUACUUCAAUAAAAUGUGUUCAUU